rnacentral:rRNA from 1 species
AAAUUGAAGAGUUUGAUCAUGGCUCAGAUUGAACGCUGGCGGCAGGCCUAACACAUGCAAGUCGAACGGUAACAGGAAGAAGCUUGCUUCUUUGCUGACGAGUGGCGGACGGGUGAGUAAUGUCUGGGAAACUGCCUGAUGGAGGGGGAUAACUACUGGAAACGGUAGCUAAUACCGCAUAACGUCGCAAGACCAAAGAGGGGGACCUUCGGGCCUCUUGCCAUCGGAUGUGCCCAGAUGGGAUUAGCUUGUUGGUGGGGUAACGGCUCACCAAGGCGACGAUCCCUAGCUGGUCUGAGAGGAUGACCAGCCACACUGGAACUGAGACACGGUCCAGACUCCUACGGGAGGCAGCAGUGGGGAAUAUUGCACAAUGGGCGCAAGCCUGAUGCAGCCAUGCCGCGUGUAUGAAGAAGGCCUUCGGGUUGUAAAGUACUUUCAGCGGGGAGGAA